CGUGAGUAACCUGCCUUGGAGUGGGGAAGUAAACACAGUGAAAACUAGUGCUAAUACCGCAUAAUGCAUUUGGGUCGCAUGAUUCUGAAUGCCAAAGAUUUAUCGCUCUGAGAUGGACUCGCGUCUGAUUAGCUGGUUGGCGGGGUAACGGCCCACCAAGGCGACGAUCAGUAGCCGGACUGAGAGGUUGACCGGCCACAUUGGGACUGAGACACGGCCCAG
rnacentral:rRNA from 1 species